GUAGUUGUGGCUGAGUGGUUAAGGCGAUGGAUUAGAAAUCCAUUGGGGUUUCUCUGCAUAGGUUCAAUUCCUGCUGGCUACG